GGCAGUGCACAGAUGUGUGGGCAGUCCGGGGGAAUCAGAGGAGAGACACAGGAUUUGAUUCCCUGUCUCCUUUACUACAUCCCAAGAGUCUCUCUGCUUUCCUUGGUCCCCGGACCUCUUGCUAGCCUCCACUCCAUCUCGGUCCAUCUGUCUAUACUAGGAUAAAGUAAAACAAGCUAUGACCUGAUUUGUCAACACUCAUCUCUGCAAAUUAACAGAAGAACCACUUUAUAGGAUUAGGAGUCAAAGAAUACACCUGCCAGAGCACCGCCUUCCCCUCCAGAUGUGCACCUGCACACCAUGUGAUCUGAAAGGUGUUGCCUUGUAAUAACGGACCAGAUCAGCAACUAAAUAAAUAAUGGCUGAGGAUAUCCAGAGAAGAGCUAAUCUAUUAGAAAAUGAGUCCCCCUGUGCAGUGACUCUCGCAACUGUAGAGAAUGGAUGUCACCUCGUCCUCUUGGGUUCAGCUGCGUGGGAGCUACUGGUGCUUCCGUUGAAUCACAGACCUCAUUUCUCUGCCUGGGAGAUGCAGAGCGUUUCUCUCCGAGGACUCAUCUGCACAAAGCUGGGACGUGGAGAAUUCUUGGAGCCACAAUGCAAAGCUGAUGGGGUGAGGCCAGGGAAGCUCCUGCCUCUUGCCCUCUCAACCCACAGUCUGAUGACAAAUGCCGGAAGGCUAGACAGACUUGCCUUUUAAAGCUGUUAGAGCUGAAUUGCUUCUCUGGAGUGUUUCAACACUACAUGAAUUGGCUUAACGUAUUAAUAUAAGAAAAAUACCUCCUGACUUAUGUAGGGGGUCCACACUACCAACUGUCCAAGCCACAUGCAAGGGGCAAUCUUACACUGCAGAGCGUGGUGGUUUGAAAGAAAACGGCCUCCUAAGGGGGUGGCACUAUUAGAGGGUGUGGCUUUGUGGGAGUGGGUGUGGCCUUGGAGGAAGUGUGCCACUGUGGGGUGCAGGCUUUGAGGUCUCCUAUGCUCAAGCUACACCCAGUGAGACAGCUCACUGCCAGUUGCCUGAUGAUCAAGAUGUACAACUCUCAGCUCCUUCUCCAGCACCAUGCCUGCCUGUAUGCUGCCAUGUCUCAUUAUGAUGAUAACGGACUAAACUUCUGAAACUGUAAGCCACCCCAAAUUAAAUGUUUUCCUUGUAAUGGUUAUAGUCUCUCUUCACAGCAAUAGAAAGCCUAACUAAGACAUAGAGGAUAAAAGUAUCUCAUCUACUCGCAGGAAAACUAUCCAUCUGUGUCAGUUUGAGAUCCUCCUUGUAACACAGAUAAGGUGUAUAUUCCAACUGUACUUCAUUUAUGCAGGGUCAAGUUUGCUUAUGCUGGUGGUUUUUUGUGCUCUGUUUAUUUUCUGUUUUCUUCUAUUAGUGUUAUUGUUGUUGUUUAUACUAGCGGUGGAGAACAGAGCCCUGUACAUGGCAGGGAAGUGCUCUACCACUGAGCUAUAUUCACACUCCUAGGUCUUUCUUUCAAUUAUUAGUUCUUUUUUGGACUGAGAGGGCUUUUGGCUUGCUUAUAUUGAAUUCUUUCUUAUAUGUAUUUUAUAGUUUAAGAAGUCAAUUUGCAUUGAAUCCAGGAUUAAGGACAUAUUUGUAGUGCCUUCAAAUCAUUUGCAAAGAGCAAAUAUAUUUAAAGGAUUAAUGGUUUCUAUUAAUAUAAUGAAACAAAGUAGAAUAAUGAACAUAUUUCCAAACCCAACAUAUUUUAGUCUGGGGAACAGGAAACAUGUGGUUCACUGGACACAAUACAAUCUGUCCAUGAGUACUUAGCAAUUUUCUCUAAGGACCAAGCACAGAGGGACAGGCCUGUACUCCUAGCACUGGCAUGAACAGUCAGGAGGAUUAGGAGUUCAAGGCCAUCCUUGGCUACACAGUAGGACUGAAGCCAAUCUGGUACAUGAGACCCCCAUUUCAACAACAGUAACAAUAAUAAUAACAAUCAUUUUCCCAGUUUGUACUUCCUAUCAGUAAAAGUGAAUACAGGGAAAUACAAAAUUUCACACACACACACAAAAAAACAUAGUAAUUUUAACUAAUAAUAUAUUGGGUUUUUUCCCCACAAGAAUAAUGUAGCAUUUUUUAACAGAAGACUAUAUUUUGUGUGCCCCUUUUAUGAUUAUUGAUAAUUUUUUUGAGAAUGCCAUUCAUGUUUACAGUGUGUUUUAAUCAAAUCUACCCUAACACCCUCCUUUCCAGUCCCUCCCAGAUUCUUCCCACCAAUCUCCCUCACAACAACUUCACGUCUGUUCUCCACCUCCCCCGACUUGCUGAGUCCCGUUAGUGCUGAUAGUAAAUGCAUGAGCACAGGACCCUCUACUGAAGCAUGGCAACCUGUCUGAGGCAUAUCCCUGAAGAAAACUGACUCUUUCUCCCAGCAGCCAUCGAGUACCAAGAGUUCCUUGGAUACUGGUGAGGCUUUGUUAGCCUCUCCCCGUCUAUGCUAGAAUUUUGGCUGGCUUGAUCUUACACAGGUCUUGUGUAGACAGUUAUAGGGGCUGUGAGUUCAUAGGUGUGAGGACCCAGUCAUGUCCAGAAAAUACCACUUUUCAGUGUCCUCCAUGACCUCUGACUUUUAUCAUCUUUCAGUCCCUUGCCUCCAUGGUGAUUCCUGAGCCUUGGGCAAGGGCUAUGGUAUAGAUGCCCCAUUUAGGGCUGAGCAUAAGACAGUCCCUUAUUCUCUGCAGGUUGACCUGUGUUAAUUGUUAUCUAAGAAAGAGGGAAUGGGACACAAAAGAUGGUGGUCAGAGAAGAAGCCAGGAGAAAAGACACAGACUCAUGCAGAGUUCUGGAAGCUACUGCAGGGAGGCAGGAAGAGAUCAGCUACUAAAUACAUUCCUUAUCACCAACAGUAUAAAGAUGUGAUCUACUCUAUAUUUAAAGAGAGGGGACUCCAACGACCAUAAGACGUGAUGAUGUAGACCCACACACAUGCCAGCAAGGGAACCAUGCCACCCACAGUAUACAACCAUGUGUGUACUUCUCAUUUUAUUUUAUUUGAAAACAAAUUCUCCAUGCUAAUGUUUCUAGAAUUUACACUCUGUGUUGUAGCUGAAAGUUUAAUAACUGAUUUUUUCCCAGAUCAUGACUGCACACCAGUACUGUAUGUGACCCUGUGUGGAAAUGUAACAAAGGGUUGCUGAUCAUUAUAACACUUCACCCUUCAGAACAGCCCCACCUACAAACCCCAGGCAGAACAAGCAGCUAUGACUCGCCCCUGCUACUGUGAGAAAUGAGACCCACUAAGUGCUGAGAGCAUAAAAACUCAAGGCUAGCUGGUCCCACCCAGUGCAGAUUGGGGGCAGAGCUUCUGACAUCAUGGUCACGUCCAGUCCUUCUGUAAUAUUAUCUGAUUCACAAGGAAGCAGUCUUUGUAUCAUGCUGACUGCAGUUUACAUAGAGAGAGAGAGAGGGGGAGAGACAGGGAUGGAGGGAGGGGGAGAGAGGAAGAGAGGGAGAGAGAGAGGAAGAAAGGAAGAGAGAGAGGAAGAGAGCGGGGGAGAAAGAAAGAGAGGAAGAAAGAAAGAGGGAGAGAAACCGAGAGAGACACAGAGAGAGAACAUGAAUAGAGAGCCACCUACUAUGACAACUAGGUAAACCAAACAGGCCCCAAAGUAAGAAUGGAAGAAGAGAAAACAGCAGCAACACCAAAUUCCAUUCUUGCCCAGAGCAGCACUAAGGCUGCAAAGGUAUGAGUUCCCAGUGAUGCCUCUCUCCUUAACCAAGCUUGCCUUUAACUUGCCUGACCCUAGAGAUCAGGGCACCUCUAUGAGCAUUAGCACUGAGUCUUGAAGAUAAGGUUUGCUCUCUGUGUGUCUUAUCCACUCUGGAAUCCCAUGACUCCAGGUCCAUCAUCCAGGGAGCACAGGAAAUCCUGUAGAAGGAGUGUUUAUGUGCAAGGAGAAUUAGCAACAAACUUAAAUUAUGGGUUUGGUUCCACUUCAUUUGAGGAAAUACUUUGACAUUAGAGUUUUGAUUUGCUUCAACAGUUUUUAGAAAAUAUAAUUAUCAGUAAGAACUAAUUUGUUGCGUAGUUCUUAAUUUAAGGGAAAAGAGUGACAGCAGACACUAAAUAAAUUUUGCAAAUUAACAACUUAAGUGUAAUUAUGAAUUUAAAGCAUGCUUAAAUAGAAAUAAAACCAAGCACAAAAGACAGUGUUCGAUCACACAACAAAGCAUGCCUUCCCCUGCCAUGUUAAAAUCAGUGAAGUACAAACCCUCCCCCUUUACCAGACUGUGACUAUUUUAUUAGGGCAACAAUGUUAGAGAAAAUACUCUCUCCAAGACAUUUAAAUAAUUCAUAAAGGAGAACAGGCUAUGUACACAAAUAAGCAAACAUGAGAGACUGAAUUUGAAUGUGGAAUAAACCGAGAAUGAGAGAAAAGGAAGCAGGUGGAGGAAGAAAAAGACACGGAGGAGGAGGAGGUAAAAGAAGGAUGAAGAGAAGCAUGAAUGGAGAACUGGGAAAUACGAAGUACAGGUGCUCAGUUGCCGCUGUCCCCACUGCAGGAACGUUCCAGACGCUGCUGCAGCGGCUGUCUGUGCGCACAAAAGGAUGGGUGUAAAUGAGAGUGAAUAUACCGCAAAACGCAAGAGAUGCUCUUCUUUUACACCCUUGUCAAACUUUCCUGGAUGUGAAGCCAUGGUCCAGGAGUGACAACAGGAUUUGUACAGACACGUCACAGGGAUGCCACAGCACUGAACUCACGGUAAUGGAUUUUCGGCUCCUUUGUAACCUUAGAACAACUCAUCUUAUUGAUGAAUGGAAACUGGCUUGGGAUGCAAGAAUGUGGUCAGUUAAUAAAGUGAGACUAUUUCUGA